AUUGAACGCUGGCGGCAUGCCUAACACAUGCAAGUCGAACGAGUGGCGGACGGGUGAGUAAUGUCUGUGAACCUGCCUUAUGGCGGGGGUUAACUACUGGAAACGGUAGCUAAUACCGCAUACCAUCAGAUGUGCCCAGAUAGGAUUAGCUAGUUGGUGGGGUAACGGCUCACCAAGUCGACGAUCCCUAGCUGGCCUGAGAGGAUGACCAGCCACACUGGAACUGAGACACGGUCCAGACUCCUACGGGAGGCAGCAGUGGGGAAUAUUGCACAAUGGGCGCAAGCCUGAUGCAGCCAUGCCGCGUGUAUGAAGAAGGCCUUCGGGUUGUAAAGUACUUUCAGCGGGGAGGCGUUACCCGCAGAAAAAGCAACGGCUAACUCCGUGCCAGCAGCCGCGGUAAUUC
rnacentral:rRNA from 1 species